rnacentral:rRNA from 1 species
GAUGAACGCUAGCGGCAGGCUUAAUACAUGCAAGUCGUGGGGCAGCGCAGGUAGCAAUACUGGGCGGCGACCGGCAAACGGGUGCGGAACACGUACACAACCUUCCGAGAAGUGGGGAAUAGCCCAGAGAAAUUUGGAUUAAUACCCCGUAACAUAACGAUGUGGCAUCACAUUGUUAUUAUAGCUUCGGCGCUUCUUGAUGGGUUUGCGGUUGUUUAGAGAGUUGGCGGGGUAACGGCCCACCAAGUCUACGAUCAGUAGCUGAUGUGAGAGCAUGAUCAGCCACACGGGCACUGAGACACGGGCCCGACUCCUACGGGAGGCAGCAGUAAGGAAUAUUGGUCAAUGGACGCAAGUCUGAACCAGCCAUGCCGCGUGAAGGAUUAAGGUCCUCUGGAUUGUAAACUUCUUUUAUCUGGGACGAAAAAAGGCGAUUCUUCGUCACUUGACGGUACCAGAUGAAUAAGCACCGGCUAACUCCGUGCCAGCCGCCGCCGUAACAC